UGAACCGCAUGGUUCAAAAGUGAAAGACGGUCUUGCUGUCACUUAUAGAUGGAUCCGCGCUGCAUUAGCUAGUUGGUAAGGUAACGGCUUACCAAGGCAACGAUGCAUAGCCGACCUGAGAGGGUGAUCGGCCACACUGGAACUGAGACACGGUCCAGACUCCUACGGGAGGCAGCAGUAGGGAAUCUUCCGCAAUGGGCGAAAGCCUGACGGAGCAACGCCGCGUGAGUGAUGAAGGUCUUCGGAUCGUAAAACUCUGUUAUUAGGGAAGAACAUAUGUGUAAGUAACUGUGCACAUCUUGACGGUACCUAAUCAGAAAGCCACGGCUAACUACGUGCCAGCAGCCGCGGUAAUACGUAGGUGGCAAGCGUUAUCCGGAAUUAUUGGGCGUAAAGCGCGCGUAGGCGGUUUUUUAAGUCUGAUGUGAAAGCCCACGGCUCAACCGUGGAGGGUCAUUGGAAACUGGAAAACUUGAGUGCAGAAGAGGAAAGUGGAAUUCCAUGUGUAGCGGUGAAAUGCGCAGAGAUAUGGAGGAACACCAGUGGCGAAGGCGACUUUCUGGUCUGUAACUGACGCUGAUGUGCGAAAGCGUGGGGAUCAAACAGGAUUAGAUACCCUGGUAGUCCACGCCGUAAACGAUGAGUGCUAAGUGUUAGGGGGUUUCCGCCCCUUAGUGCUGCAGCUAACGCAUUAAGCACUCCGCCUGGGGAGUACGACCGCAAGGUUGAAACUCAAAGGAAUUGACGGGGACCCGCACAAGCGGUGGAGCAUGUGGUUUAAUUCGAAGCAACGCGAAGAACCUUACCAAAUCUUGACAUCCUUUGACAACUCUAGAGAUAGAGCCUUCCCCUUCGGGGGACAAAGUGACAGGUGGUGCAUGGUUGUCGUCAGCUCGUGUCGUGAGAUGUUGGGUUAAGUCCCGCAACGAGCGCAACCCUUAAGCUUAGUUGCCAUCAUUAAGUUGGGCACUCUAAGUUGACUGCCGGUGACAAACCGGAGGAAGGUGGGGAUGACGUCAAAUCAUCAUGCCCCUUAUGAUUUGGGCUACACACGUGCUACAAUGGACAAUACAAAGGGCAGCGAAACCGCGAGGUCAAGCAAAUCCCAUAAAGUUGUUCUCAGUUCGGAUUGUAGUCUGCAACUCGACUACAUGAAGCUGGAAUCGCUAGUAAUCGUAGAUCAGCAUGCUACGGUGAAUACGUUCCCGGGUCUUGUACACACCGCCCGUCACACCACGAGAGUUUGUAACACCCGAAGCCGGUGGAGUAACCUUUUAGGAGCUAGCCGUCGAAGGUGGGACAAAUGAUUGGGGUGAAGUCGUAACAAGGUAGCCGUAUCGGAAGGUGCGGCU
rnacentral:rRNA from 1 species